rnacentral:lncRNA from 1 species
CUCAGGAUAUGGAUAGAUUUCUCCAUCAGUUGUUUAUCAUCCUUUUGGGUGUAAAGUCCUGAAAUACAGCCUACGGUGGUUGUUGUGUUAGAAUGGUGGCUCGUCAGUUACACAGGAGAGGUUUAUUAGAGGAGAAAAGGAUGAAGAGGGGGUGACAAAGAAGAAAAAGGAAAGAAGGUUGGGAAGGCUCUGCCUUUUAUUUGGGCCAUGACAUAAUCACACCCACAGCUACACACAGCCACAGGUGAGCAGUUUCCGCCUGUCAUGUCCUUCCACUGGGAACGUCUGCCUUGCCGCAAGCUUAAAUUCCGUGGUACCAGGCAACAGUGGAUUGGGAUCUCUGCAACCAACCAUCUCUGCCAACUUGGAUGCAAAAGUCUCCUCAGAUGGUCCCAGGCUUA